AGUUUGUUUUAGUUCAAUAAAAAAAUCCAAGUGAGACCCACAGAAGAAAGAGCCACUAAAGGAGUGACAUCAAGGUUUUGUUGCUGAAAAAUUGAAGAAGACAACCUCUGAGGUGGUCUCGCAGACUUCGACUGUUGCUGAAUCGAAGAACCAUGUUUAGUACAGUUAGAUUGCAGGCGACGUUGUGCGAGAGGGAUUCAAUGCUCUUUUGAUUUGGGCCUCUAAUCUCUAACUUAAAUGAAAACAAGUGUUUGCAAGUGUUCCAAACAAGGUGUUUGAAGUGUAUGGGGAGAAUGCUUGCAACAACGAAGGAAAGAACGAUGUGGAUUCAAAUUCAAAUCAGCAGCUCUGGGGGACAAAUUUAACGUUAUGUAUGAUGUUCAAAUUAUCUAUAAACAUUAUAACUUAUUUACCUCCUAAAGCUCCUAACAGUUAUGUAUUUAUUAUGUGUUCAAAGUUCUUUGGUUUCAUUUGAAGUUC